AGUGAACGCUGGCGGUAGGCCUAACACAUGCAAGUCGAACGGCAGCACAGUAAGAGCUUGCUCUUACGGGUGGCGAGUGGCGGACGGGUGAGGAAUACAUCGGUAUCUACUUUUCGUGGGGGAUAACGCAGGGAAACUUACGCUAAUACCGCAUACGACCUACGGGUGAAAGCAGGGGAUCUUCGGACCUUGCGCGAUUGAAUGAGCCGAUGUCGGAUUAGCUAGUUGGCGGGGUAAAGGCCCACCAAGGCGACGAUCCGUAGCUGGUCUGAGAGGAUGAUCAGCCACACUGGAACUGAGACACGGUCCAGACUCCUACGGGAGGCAGCAGUGGGGAAUAUUGGACAAUGGGCGCAAGCCUGAUCCAGCCAUACCGCGUGGGUGAAGAAGGCCUUCGGGUUGUAGAGCCCUUUUGUUGGGAAAGAAAAGCAGCAGGUUAAUACCCCGCUGUUCUGACGGUACCCAAAGAAUAAGCACCGGCUAACUUCGUG
rnacentral:rRNA from 1 species